UAAGAAUCUUCCGCAAUGGGCGAAAGCCUGACGGAGCGACGCCGCGUGGACGAUGAAGGCCUUUAGGUUGUAAAGUCCUUUUCUUGGUGAAGAAUAAGGUGGGGAGUGGAAAGCCCUGCUGAUGACGUUAGCCAAGGAAUAAGCCCCGGCUAAUUACGUGCCAGCAGCCGCGGUAACACGUAAGGGGCGAGCGUUGUUCGGAAUUAUUGGGCGUAAAGGGCGUGUAGGCGGUUCUGUAAGCCUGGUGUAAAAGGCUUCGGCUUAACCGGAGUUUGGCGCUAGGAACUGCGGGACUAGAGUUUAGGAGGGGGAGCUGGAAUUCCUGGUGUAGGGGUGAAAUCUGUAGAUAUCAGGAAGAACACCGGUGGCGAAGGCGAGCUCCUGGCCAUAGACUGACGCUGAGGCGCGAAAGCGUGGGGAGCGAACAG
rnacentral:rRNA from 1 species